ACUCAAAUGAAUUGACGGGGACUUGCACAAGCAGUGGAUUAUGCGGUUUAAUUCGAUGACAAACGAAAAACCUUACCAAGGCUAGAAAUCCCAACGACGAAUAUUGGAAACAGUAUUCUUUCGCAAGAACGGUGGGACAGGUGAUGCAUGGCCGUCGUCAGUUCGUGAUUUGAAUUGUUCCCUUAAGUGGGGUAACGAACGCAACCCUCGUUGCCAGUUACAAGUGUCUGGCGAGACUGCUCCGGUCUGUGAGCAUGAAUUAACUAUUAAAUUAGUUGGUUCGUGAAUACAGACCGGAGAGGAAGGCGAGGAUGACGCCAGGUCAGCAUGUCCCUUGAUGCCUUGGGCCACACGCAUAAUACAAUCGCAUCUACAACGGGUCGCGACGGGGUAACCCUGAGCUAAUCCUAAGAAAAGGUGCGUCAGUUCGGAUUGGGGGCUGCAACUCGACCCCAUGAAGUUGGAAUUGCUAGUAAUCGCGGGUCAGCUAUACCGCGGUGAAUACGUUCUCAAGUCUUGUACACACCGCCCGU
rnacentral:rRNA from 1 species